rnacentral:rRNA from 1 species
UACGUAGGGUCCGAGCGUUGUCCGGAUUUAUUGGGCGUAAAGAGUUCGUAGGCGGUUCGUUAAGUCUGAUGUUAAAUAUCGGGGCUCAACCUCGGGAGUGCAUUGGAUACUGGCGGACUGGAGUGUGGUAGAGGUUAGUGGAAUUCCCAGUGUAGCGGUGAAAUGCGUAGAUAUUGGGAAGAACACCAGUGGCGUAGGCGACUAACUGGGCCUAACUGACGCUGAGGAACGAAAGCCAGGGGAGCGAAUGG